ensembl:lncRNA
GUAAAUGUGAGCACUUUUGUCCAUCGUGGGUCUGUCUGGAGAACCACAGAGCCAACCGUCACAAACCUGGAUGGCUGGAAACAUCUUGAGAAAGCUGCAAGAACAACUCGGAGACACAAAAUCUUACGUUUUGCAUCUGGUGAUAAAGGAAAAUUGGACAAAUUGUCACAGCUUGUUACAUUUUUAGAGUCACGGUCUCGUGCAGGACAGAGGAAAAAACAAACACACGCGUCUGAUGAUUCGACAAAAACACAGGCAGGAAAUUAUGGCAUCAGUUGUGAGUAUAUAAGCCUUCUAUUCUACUCUAUUAGACAAAAUUAUUGUUCUUAUUACAAAAUUACAAAAUUGUGUUAAUUUAUUGUCACAAAAUAUCUUUGAACAAGUCACAAAUCUAAAACAAAACAAAUAAUAAACAAAAUA